CUGGCUCAGGAUGAACGCUGGCGGCGUGCUUAACACAUGCAAGUCGAACGGAGCUUAGAAGGAAGCUUGCUUCAUUAAGCUUAGUGGCGGACGGGUGAGUAACGCGUGAGCAACCUGCCCUCGAGUGGGGAAUAACAUCGAGAAAUCGGUGCUAAUACCGCAUAAUGUCGAGAGACCGCAUGAUCUUUCGACCAAAGGAUUUAUUCGCUUGAGGAUGGGCUCGCGUCCGAUUAGCUAGUUGGUGAGGUAACGGCCCACCAAGGCUUCGAUCGGUAGCCGAACUGAGAGGUUGAUCGGCCACAUUGGGACUGAGACACGGCCCAGACUCCUACGGGAGGCAGCAGUGGGGAAUAUUGGGCAAUGGGCGAAAGCCUGACCCAGCAACGCCGCGUGAAGGAUGAAGGUCUUCGGAUUGUAAACUUCUUUGAUUGGGGAAGAAUAAAAUGACCUACCCAAAGAACAAGCCACGGCUAACUACGUGCCAGCAGCCGC
rnacentral:rRNA from 1 species